UAUUGCACAAUGGGCGCAAGCCUGAUCCAGCCAUGCCGCGUGUAUGAAGAAGGCCUUCGGGUUGUAAAGUACUUUCAGCGGGGAGGAAGNGAGUAAAGUUAAUACCUUUACUCAUUGACGUUACCUGCAGAAGAAGCACCGGCUAACUCCGUGCCAGCAGCCGCGGUAAUACGGAGGGUGCAAGCGUUAAUCGGAAUUACUGGGCGUAAAGCGCACGCAGGCGGUUUGUUAAGUCAGAUGUGAAAUCCCCGGGCUCAACCGGGGAACUGCAUCUGAUACUGGCAAGCUUGAGUCUCGUAGAGGGGGGUAGAAUUCCAGGUGUAGCGGUGAAAUGCGUAGAGAUCGGGAGAAAUACCGGUGGCGAAGGCGGCCCCCUGGACGAAGACUGACGCUCAGGUGCGAAAGCGUGGGAAGCAAA
rnacentral:rRNA from 1 species